rnacentral:misc_RNA from 1 species
CGCACAUUGCGCCCUUUGGUAUUCCGAAGGGCAUGCCUGUUCGAGCGUCAUUUCACCACUCAAGCCUGGCUUGGUAUUGGACGUCGCGGCUUCCGCGCGUCUUAAAGUCUCCGGCUGAGCCAUUCAUCUCUAAGCGUUGUGAUAUUCUAUUCGCUUCUUGACGAUGGAUGGUCUCUUCGGCCGUUAAAUCUUUCUCAAGGUUGACCUCGGAUCAGGUAGGGAUACCCGCUGAACUUAA